AAGCAGGGUCGCUAGAUCUUGUGGAGCCAACGUUGAAAUACCACCCUGGUGUGUUUGAGGUUCUAACCUAGACCCGUUAUCCGGGUCGGGGACAGUGCAUGGUAGGCAGUUUGACUGGGGCGGUCUCCUCCCAAAGCGUAACGGAGGAGUUCGAAGGUACGCUAGGUACGGUCGGACAUCGUGCUAAUAGUGCAAUGGCAUAAGCGUGCUUAACUGCGAGACUGACAAGUCGAGCAGAUGCGAAAGCAGGACAUAGUGAUCCGGUGGUUCUGUAUGGAAGGGCCAUCGCUCAACGGAUAAAAGGUACUCUGGGGAUAACAGGCUGAUACCGCCCAAGAGUUCAUAUCGACGGCGGUGUUUGGCACCUCGAUGUCGGCUCAUCUCAUCCUGGGGCUGUAGCCGGUCCCAAGGGUAUGGCUGUUCGCCAUUUAAAGAGGUACGUGAGCUGGGUUUAAAACGUCGUGAGACAGUUUGGUCCCCUAUCUUCCGUGGGCGCUGCAGAUUUGAG
rnacentral:rRNA from 1 species